UUGCUCUGCAGGUGUUUUGUAUAUGUAUUUACCAUCAUGAUUAGUUGUCUUUAAAUAAAAAUCAUUCUUAAUAUGAAUGGAUAAAGAAAAUGUGGUAUAUAUACACAAAUGAAAUACUCAGCGAUAAAGAAGAAUGAAAUUCUGGCAUUUACAGGUAAAUGGACAGAAGAUGGAUACUUAUGAUGCUAAGUGAAAUAAACCAAUCCCCCAAAAAAACAAAGGCCAAAUUUUCUCUCUGGUAUCUGGAUGCUAAUCCAUAACAAGGGAGGAUAGGGAGAGAAAGAAUAGAAAUUCACUGGAUUGGACAAAGGGGAAUGAAGGGAAAGGAGUGGGGAUGAAAAUAGGAAAGAUAGUAGAAUGAAUCAGACAGGACUCUCCUUUGCUCAUAUAUGAGUACACAGCCAGUGUAUCUCCACAUCAUGUACAAUCACAAGAAUGGGAAGUUAUAUUCCAUGUACGUAUAAUAUGUAAAAAUUCACUCUACUGUCAUGUAUAUCUAAAAAGAACAAAUAUAAAAAAUAAAUAAAAUCAUCCUGGC
rnacentral:lncRNA from 1 species